AUGCUCAUCUGCACUGCACAGAGGAAAUCAACUGACCGAGGAGUGUUUCUGAGUGAGGGAGAGAGGAGUCAUCAUCCAGGUAAAGUGACGUGGAUCAGUGGAUACACUUGUCUCACCUUUAAAGGAGAUACUCUUAGAGAGAGACGAAUCGUAAUGAUCAUGAUUACAAUGAUGACAGCGAGCGGAACUAAGACUGUAAAAAUCCACGACCAGAAUGUUUAGAUGCUUUCUAAUUAUUCAUGAAUACUGAGAGCCUCUUUCUGUGUUUUGUCUGUUUUGUUUUUUUUUACCUCAUUUGUUACUAACAAAGAUCACCAAACUCACACAGUUUACAUUCUGUAUGUUUCCAUCUUUACCAGCCACACUCUGCCUGCAAUUAAGAAAAUAAUCCUUAGCAAUCGUCAUUUUUCUCUUUUGUAAUUGAUGAUAAUUCAGUGAAUAUACUGCGCUGCUUCCUUUUAUUGCGUCUCAUAUUGCUUUAAGUUUUUCAGUGUACAGUUAUUUUUUUACUUCUGUUUGAAUUAAGAUAAGAUAAGAUAACCUUUAUUAGUCCCACACGUGGGAAAUUUCUCUGUAUGUUUGACCCUGUAGACUGUUUGAUGGACUGCUUGUCUUCCUGUUUGUAACCGCCGCCUGUUUUUGACUAAAGAUUUGGAUUUCUGACUUUAACACAGCCUCUGCGUGUCCUCCCUUUGUGUCCUCUUCCUCUGUGAAUGUGUUGCAUGUGUCACAGAUUCAUUUUAUUAACAGCUUUCCCACAGUGAAUUGCAUCAGCAUUCACUCACAGCACAUUGCAGAAGGAUUCAGAUUAAUACAGUGAUCUUACAGUCAGCAUUAUCCUGACAGAGUGCCACUGUAAAUUAUCUUUCAUCAGGUCAAUUUUAAAGUUCAGUAUUUCAAAGCAGGAGUUAUGAAGAAUCAUAUUGGCAUUAGGACUGUAACAAUAUGUACUUACAAAGUCAAAGUUUUUUUUAAUUAUGUUAGAAUAUUGGAAGAGAAUCAACUUUUAGUGUUUUCUGCAUAUUAAUUAUACUGAAAUAGAGAUGGUGACCCUAACUGUACAGAAGUAUACUAAACAACUGACAAUCUAACAAACAUUACUGGCCUGAGCCAUCAUGCACAGUGAGUCUGAUCCUGUGCUGUGAGAGUCUGAUAAGCAUGUUUCUGGUCAGUUUGGAAGAAAU
rnacentral:lncRNA from 1 species